rnacentral:rRNA from 1 species
UGGGGAAUCUUGCACAAUGGGGGCAACCCUGAUGCAGCGACGCCGCGUGAGCGAUGAAGCCCUUCGGGGCGUAAAGCUCUUUCGACCGGAACGAUAAUGACGGUACCGGGAGAAGAAGCUGCGGCUAACUACGUGCCAGCAGCCGCGGUAAUACGUAGGCAGCAAGCGUUGUUCGGAGUUACUGGGCGUAAAGAGUGCGUAGGCGGUUUUCUAAGUUCGGUGUGAAAUCUCCCGGCUUAACUGGGAGGGUGCGCCGAAGACUGGGAAGCUGGAGUGUGGGAAAGGCAGGCGUAAUUCCUGGUGUAGCGGUGAAAUGCGUAGAUAUCAGGAGGAACACCGGCGGUGUAGACGGCUUGCUAGACCAUAACUGACGCUGAGGCACGAAAGCGUGGGUAGCAAACA